rnacentral:ncRNA from 19 species
GCGCAUUCUCAGGGCAGGGUGAAAUUCCCUACCGGUGGUAAAUGUAUAACAUAAGCCCACGAGCGUUUACUAUUUCAUGUCACAAGAGAUAGUAAAGUCAGCAGAUUUGGUGAGAAUCCAAAGCCGACAGUAUAGUCUGGAUGAAAGAGAAUAAGC